rnacentral:rRNA from 1 species
UACGAAGGGGGCUAGCGUUGCUCGGAAUCACUGGGCGUAAAGCGCACGUAGGCGGAUUGCUAAGUCAGGGGUGAAAUCCUGGAGCUCAACUCCAGAACUGCCCUUGAUACUGGCGGUCUCGAGUCCGGGAGAGGUGAGUGGAACUGCGAGUGUAGAGGUGAAAAUUGUAGAUAUUCGCAAGAACACCAGUGGCGAAGGCGGCUCACUGGCCCGGUACUGACGCUGACGGUG